rnacentral:rRNA from 1 species
UGAACGCUAGCGACAGGCCUAACACAUGCAAGUCGAGGGGCAGCACAAGGAGCAAUCUGAGGUGGCGACCGGCGCACGGGUGAGUAACACGUAUGCAACCUGCCUGUAAGCGGGGAAUAACCCGUUGAAAGACGGACUAAUACCGCAUAAUACUAAAUUACUGCAUGGUAAUUUAUUUAAACAUUUAUGGCUUACAGAUGGGCAUGCGCAUGAUUAGCUAGUUGGAGAGGUAACGGCUCCCCAAGGCAACGAUCAUUAGGGGUUCUGAGAGGAAGGUCCCCCACACUGGUACUGAGACACGGACCAGACUCCUACGGGAGGCAGCAGUGAGGAAUAUUGGUCAAUGGACGAGAGUCUGAACCAGCCAAGUCGCGUGCAGGAAGAAUUGUCCUAUGGAUUGUAAACUGCUUUUGCAGGGGAAUAAAGUGCAUCACGUGUGAUGUUUUGUAUGUACUCUGCGAAUAAGGAUCGGCUAACUCCGUGCCAGCCGCGGC